UAUAGAUAUAAGUUCGACUUCCAAAUGCUCGUCACUGUCCCAGUCCUAGUUACAUAUCAUAUUUAAGCUUGUGGUUGUCAAUAAUGACAGAAGGGUGUCAUCUAUUUGGCACUAGCCUGUCAAGCACUAGGGCAUUUACCAUUCUUACACUUUAUUUUAUUUUAAAUAGGUUCUUUAGUGGCAUUUAUUUGAGUAAUGUGUCAAUAACUCAUUUAUCUUCCAGAGAUAGAAAUGUUUCUCAGCAACAUUAUGGUAUAUAACGUUAUGGUAUUAACCUCCUUGUUCAUAAAACUUAGCAAACCUUAGUUACAUGUUGUCCCUUUCUAAUAAACACAAAUAUCGCAGGACAAACGAUCAUCAAGGGCUUGUUAGACUUGACAGGCGUUUGAAUAACGAUACAAGUAUGACCUUACCUACCUAUUGAGGAAUCAGUAGGUACCAGCAACAACACAAACCUUAUUGCACUUAUUUUGAUACUAGUUUUUUUAAAUUAUCUAUGUCAAACCCUAAAAUAUCUUCACGCCAGCAAACUUAUAUCCGACCAUAUUCAAUCUAUUAAUCAAAUUGUUGUUACAGACCGUUACGUCGAUAUCGCCUCACACACAGACGCGAAUAAAAAACAAGAAAUUCGAUACACAAAUGUCUGUGCGGUAAUAUUUAUAGAUUUUGAUUAAUGACUGACUGAGGGGACGCAUCUGAUGGAUGGGGCAUGGUGUUAUUAGAUAAUGGUGUUUCAAUAGAAUUAGGAGCUUUGUUCUUCCUGCCCUUACACCGUGGGUCAAGAACGAGUUGAGUAUUUGGAGAUCCAGUUUAGGAUUUCGAAACCGUCUUCGGUAUUUUGGACAUUUGAACAAGAACUUCGUUAUAAUAUCGUUAGGUACUGUUAAGAAAAAACUCUGAUACCUAUCUACUUACUAGAAUGUAUUAUCAUAAAGUUUAGUUAACCGAUACUUUGGUACAUAUCAUCACAUCAUAUCAGCACAUAUCUGACAUGGGAGGGUAUUUUAUUUUGUUAUUAUCAUAAAGUAAAAGAGAAUAGUCAACAAAUAAAACAUUGCGUGACUUAACAUACCUGCAAACCGCACUUAUUUCCGUUAUUGAUUUUGGCGCACAAAUAUCCUGUGAAAAAAAAAGGAAUACUUAUAUAAGUAAAAUUUAUAGAAUUGUGGCAAAACACUUUACAUACCUAACUAAAUUUGAUAAGAUAAGGUACAAUGCCGUUAACAUAAUAUUAAAAUCUGGUUAUAUCGAGACCUAUUAAUUUGGAAGCUAUUUGUCCCAUAUCAAAGUUAUUAAUAAAAUCCAGAACAUCUGUUAUUACUGUAGUGGCCAGUUAAUGAGUUUUAGUUAGGGAUCUGUUCCACCGCACGAUACGAGGCGAUAAACUGAUUGUACAUAUCCGCGAAACUAUAAAUAAAUAAAUCUUAUACGGCAAUUUUAAAUCGACCAAGUUCCACAGUAUGCUCAAUAAGACUUGUGUUAUGGAUACUAGACGACGAUAUAUUAUAAAUACCUAAUUAUGUAAACGCACUUACCAGGAUUCGAACUCGGGGGACCUGUUUCUUCGUAGGCAGGGUCAUCACCGACUAGGCUAGGAGGCGGGUGUAUAUAGUCUGCAAAUAAUAUAAAAUAUCUGUUUAAAAAUUUCUCUUUUAAAUAUAUAUUGUUUUUUAAAAUUUUAACGUUUUAAAAAAAAUACCACUCACAUUCAUUUUGUAUUUUUUCAUAAAUUUUGUUUUUUUUUCUACCUGAUCAUAAUCACUAGCUCUUUCGAUCUUAAUGGAAUAAAAUAAUGUCCCAGCGUUUUUUUCUAUUGUGUUACCAUUUUCCCAUAUAUUUUGUAUGGCUGUAACAAAAAGGAAAGUAUGAAAAAUGUAUGGAAAUUUUGGGACACUUUUUUUCUCCUAUAACGAUGAAAAGGGCUCGCGAUCUAGACCAAAAAUAACACAAAACUGGCAAAUUAGGUCAUAUAGAAAAAAGUGGCAAAAAAACAAACGCUUAUUUAAUUUAAAUUUCGCAUCGGACCUAUCGUUUGCAAAAGUGUAGCAUAGAUAUUUUUCUAACCAUAAGGAAGGAAUUAUUUUAAAAAAUACCGUUAAGAAAUUUUGUAACAGUCACUCCUUUGAGUGCGAACUGUUACAACAUCAAUUGUUGAACCAUGCAAAAUUGUAGCAGGUACGGCCUUUCUUCCUUUCACUCUAACUCAAUAGAAAGUGUUUACAGAUUUACAACCAACUCGAGGGCACACUGGCCGCAAACACCAAAACAACAGACUAUUAGGACGGGACAUUUAUUAUAAAAGUAAAGGUGUAUAAUUCGCAAAACGGACAGAGAAAGUGACCACCGGACUUGAAUAGAACUUUGCGCAUUUCGAUCUUUGAGAAACAAUGGACAUUCGUUACAAUUGUAACAAUUGACCACCUGCCGAUAUUUGAAUAUUGCAAAAAGUAUUUGGUUUCGUUUUCAUCUCAGUGAGUGCAGUACAGUCUCAGUGUGUAGAUGAAAUUGCAAGUGCCAGUGAGAAAUAUGUGAAUAAUAAUGGGUGUAAUUAAAAGUAUCGUGAGAUGUAAUCUAUCGUUAAUAACUUAAUAAUUACACGCAUACUCCGAAGACAGCACUCGACACUAAACCGCACCUGCAAAAGAAACACACCUUGAAGUAACUGAACCCGAACACCAUGUACAGUAAAAGGGAUGGGUACUCAAAUAAAACCUAUAGGCAGAAAGCAUUAAGGCGUUCGGGGUACUUACGUCAGGCAGUAUGUUUUGCAAAUUGGACGUGGAAAAAAGAAGAAUCGACAAAAGAUUCCUUGGUGGGGGGGCUUAGUUAAUAUGACAAAAGUACAUAUUUAUUAUUUUCAUUGCUUUUUACGUUUGUCGAUGUACAGUGUUUCGAAUGUAUUAGAUAGUAAUUAAAGAAUAUUUGUACGCCAUUUAUUUAUAUAGAAAACUAAGGAUUGGAAACAAUAUUAUGUGAUAUCAAUCUAUAACCUUUUUUACACAAAUAAACUACCUAUUCAUUCAUUUAUUAAUUCAUUGGCCUUUUCUAUCAAUGCUUGUCAUCUUGACUAGGCCCCCAGUUCAAUAAUAAAUUAUAUAUUGCCCA